rnacentral:rRNA from 1 species
AAGCUCGUAGUUGAAUUUCGGGCGGCGCCAGCCGGUGCGCCUUUUGGCGAGUACUGGUGUGGGGUCGCCUUUUCUUCUGGGCGACCAUUGUGCUUCGGUGCGAUGGGAAUCCAGGACGUUUACUUUGAGGAAAUUAGAGUGUUUAAAGCAGGCUUGUGCUUGAAUACAUUAGCAUGGGAUAAUAGAAUAGGACUUUGGUUCUGUUUUGUUGGUUUUAGGAGCCAGAGUAAUGAUUAAUAGGAUAGUUGGG